rnacentral:rRNA from 1 species
GACGAACCGUGCGAACGUUGUUCGGAAUCACUGGGCUUAAAGGGCGCGUAGGCGGCUCCGUUAGUCCGGGGUGAAAUCCGUCGGCUCAACCGGCGGACGGCCUGGGAUACUGCAGUGCUAGAGUGUGGAAGGGGCAAUCGGAAUUCUUGGUGUAGCGGUGAAAUGCGUAGAUAUCAAGAGGAACACCUGAGGUGAAGACGGGUUGCUGGGCCAACACUGACGCUGAGGCGCGAAAGCCAGGGGAGCAAACGGG